UAUGUGGAAGAGGGCGAAGACACCAAAAUCGGAUGAUAUCGUUGCCAAGAGAGUGUCUGUGAUGGCACCAUCCACAUCACAAGCUGGAAUCAAAACACCUGUAACAUAGGAGGUCAAGGAUUGGACUGUGUCAUCCUUGUCUCAGCUCGGUCGUUUUACUGGCAUGUGGUGGAUCUUGAGUCCAGAAACACCUCAGGAUGGCUUAUCGCAAGAA